ACAUUCAAUUGGUAUUUGUGCUGAGG
rnacentral:piRNA from 1 species